CGAUAAGCGCCGGUAAGGUGAUAUGAACCGUUAUAACCGGCGAUUUCCGAAUGGGGAAACCCAGUGUGACUCGUCACACUAUCAUUAACUGAAUCCAUAGGUUAAUGAGGCGAACCGGGGGAACUGAAACAUCUAAGUACCCCGAGGAAAAGAAAUCAACCGAGAUUCCCCCAGUAGCGGCGAGCGAACGGGGAGGAGCCCAGAGCCUGAAUCAGCAUGUGUGUUAGUGGAAGCGUCUGGAAAGGCGCGCGAUACAGGGUGACAGCCCCGUACACAAAAGCGCAUGUGCUGUGAGCUCGAUGAGUAGGGCGGGACACGUGGUAUCCUGUCUGAAUAUGGGGGGACCAUCCUCCAAGGCUAAAUACUCCUGACUGACCGAUAGUGAACCAGUACCGUGAGGGAAAGGCGAAAAGAACCCCGGCGAGGGGAGUGAAAAAGAACCUGAAACCGUGUACGUACAAGCAGUGGGAGCCCCACCACUAAGCCAGUGGUGAACUCCACAUACGCAUCCUUUGCUGAGGAUACGGUUAACGGAGCGAAAGCGACGUUCAACCUCAAAAGAAGCAGAGGGGGCUUAGUGGUGGGGUGACUGCGUACCUUUUGUAUAAUGGGUCAGCGACUUAUAUUCUGUAGCAAGGUUAACCGCAUAGGGGAGCCGUAGGGAAACCGAGUCUUAAC
rnacentral:rRNA from 1 species